CAGCCGCCACGGUAAUACGUAGGUCCCGAGCGUUGUCCGGAUUUAUUGGGCGUAAAGCGAGCGCAGGCGGUUAGAUAAGUCUGAAGUUAAAGGCUGUGGCUUAACCAUAGUACGCUUUGGAAACUGUUUAACUUGAGUGCAAGAGGGGAGAGUGGAAUUCCAUGUGUAGCGGUGAAAUGCGUAGAUAUAUGGAGGAACACCGGUGGCGAAAGCGGCUCUCUGGCUUGUAACUGACGCUGAGGCUCGAAAGCGUGGGGAGCAAACAGGAUUAGAUACCCGAGUAGUCCCUGUCUCUUAUACA
rnacentral:rRNA from 1 species